rnacentral:tRNA from 1 species
GCCGAGGUGGCGGAAUUGGUAGACGCGCGGGGUUCAGGGCUCCGUAGCUUUAAAGCUGUAUGGGUUCGAAUCCCAUCCUCGGCA